UAGGAUAAUAGUUAUCUUAAAUAACAUCUAAUUUGCAUUUAGAAAGUGCUAAAAUUAUAUAGCUUAUCU
rnacentral:tRNA from 1 species